rnacentral:rRNA from 1 species
GAUGAACGCUGGCGGCGUGCCUAAUACAUGCAAGUCGAGCGAACGGACGAGAAGCUUGCUUUUCUGAUGUUAGCGGCGGACGGGUGAGUAACACGUGGAUAACCUACCUAUAAGACUGGGAUAACUUCGGGAAACCGUAGCUAAUACCGGAUAAUAUUUUGAACCGCAUUGUUCAUAAGUGAAAGACGGUCUUGCUGUCACUUAUAGAUGGAUCCGCGCUGCAUUAGCUAGUUGGUAAGGUAACGGCUUAACAAGGCAACGAUGCAUAGCCGACCUGAGAGGGUGAUCGGCCACACUGGAACUGAGACACGGUCCAGACUCCUACGGGAGGCAGCAGUAGGGACUCUUACGCGAUGGGCGAAAGCCUGACGGAGCAACGCCGCGUGAGUGAUGAAGGUCUUCGGAUCGUAAAACUCUGUUAUUAGGGAAGAACAUAUGUGUAAGUAACUGUGCACAUCUUGACGGUACCUAAUCAGAAAGCCACGGCUAACUACGUG